AAUGUCACACAUUAAUUAUGGCCU
rnacentral:miRNA from 1 species